UUUUACCGAAGCAAGUUUACCUGGAAGUAAAAUCAUAAGCAAUACUUAUUGUGAUUUUCCUCAAUAUGGACGUGGAAUAAGAGGUAAGCUCCUUUUACUUAUAAUAAUCUGAUUUGGUUUUGAAUUUGGCAUGCAGUUGUAGUAAAUAAACUUAAAUUAUUUGGCAUGACUUUAAGCACUGUUUAAAUGUUGCGUGGUUUUCUCAAGAAAUUUAAAUUACUAGUAAUUUUUGUUUUAUGUACUCAAUUUGAUCAUUGUGUUUAUUACAUCCCCGUACUUUUAUUGUGAUAUUAAUAAAGUAAAUACUUCAAUAGCUCUGAUAUUAAAUAAACAUCACCUCUACGAUCGAUGUAUUUGUAAACAGGACAGAAGAGCCACCGCUUGUCAUUUUAUUUACUAUUUUUAUGAGUUUCAUUUCGUCAAUUUAAGAUUAUGCAUAAGAUAUAAAAGUAAGAAUUUAUAUUUCAGCUGUGUAUAAGUUGCUUGUUGAAUAUGUUGUGAAAAGAUGUUUUAUAUUAGACUCAUGUCAAAAUUGCGAAGUCAUUAUCGAUAUAGGUCUCGGUGUUAAUACAGUAAUAAUUGUACAAAUAAGAAUGUUACAGUCUCACUAUAUUAGGAGCGUAAAUAGUUCAGUCGGUUAAGAGUCAGAGUUUGAUAACAGUGACUGUUUUAGUCAAGAUCGAGAGCUGAUGGACACACUUUAAAAAAAAAGUUUUGUCAAAUGUUAAACUCCUUAUACAUAGAUAAUACAACUUUCGUUUCUAUUUAACAAUUUAUAAUUAGAUCUAUAUGUUUUAUUAUUGCUUUUUAAAGGAAAUUGAAAACCAGCAUUUUGGAAGGACCCCGUGCAAUACACCAUUUGCAUCUCAACAGUCAUGUAGCAGUGACAGGGAGUCAGAGGAUCAUCUCGUUGACCAGCAGCAAGACCACGCGGAAGUGGAAAUGUGUCGACUUCAGGCUGCUCUGCUAGAAUUUCAAGCUGAAGUAUCCGAUGAUGAAGACCUCUCUUCAAUGGCAAAUGAUUCGGACCUACCUAACAUACACGAAUUUAUGAAAGGCUGCUGCUGUUCAAAAAACUGUCAAAAGCAUUUCAGCUAUGACCAGAUCCGAUCAAGUGUGUUAAAUAUGCAAGAAAUAAGCAGAGACAAGAAGGGUCAGUUUCUUAUGGGAAUACUCAGCAACGAUUUCGUUUGUACUGAAACAACAAAACAGGGAAACAAAAGACAAAGGGAAAAGAGGUCGUUUGCAAUACAUGGUAAAAAUGUGUGUAAAUCGACAUUCAUGUUGUAUUACGAUACAAAACGUACGGUGCUUUCAAACAUGUUAAAACAUGUGACUUUGCACGGAGCUGUUCCCAGAGUCCACGGAAACAAAGGUCGAUGGCCUAUGCACGCCAUGCAGCUCGAAGAUGUGCAAUGGGUGGUUCAUUUCUUGAAAAAUACUGAUGAGACGAUUGGGAUAUUCUACCCGGAAGCUCCACGUGGAAAUGACCGUAUUCCCGUGGUGUUCUUACCAUCACAUAACACGAAACUGAGAAUUCAUAAUGACUACAAGCAACUAUGCAUCUAUGAGGGUGUGAAGUAUUUGCGUCUUACAGCCUUUAAAACGAUUUGGUCACGUUGUGUUCCACAUAUCAAGAUCGCCAAGCCACGUGACGAUGUGUGCGCGAUUGCGUGAGUCAUUACGAACAGUCAUCUCUAACGCAGUUACUGAAAUCAAGAAAUUGGAUUCUGCCGCAGCAAUGACCAAUCAUGUUAAUGAUGCAAGAAAGUCAGAGUGUCAGCAUUCCGCAUAAGAGUAGGCAGAUGGGUCCCCUGUACUUCUUGUCUUUGCUGACGGUGAUGCUGUUCGGAUUUCGAGUAAGCAGUGGCAGUCAAAUUAAUAUUGUAUACGACGAGUCACAGAUGGGAAACAGUCACAGGUUCCAAAUGCUGUCAUUUCCAUGAUUGAUUGGGCACUGAAACAGCACUUUCCAUGGGCAUGGUCCUUCUCAAUUCAUGCCGACAACUGUCUAGGCCAGAACAAAAACUGGUUCGUGCUGGCUAACUUUAUGUGGCGGGUUUUGACGGGCCAAAACAAGACCAUUGAAUACCUGAUGCAGAUACCAGGUCAUGCACGCAGCCAUGUAGACAGUGGGUUUGCUGCAAUCAAGAAACGGUACAGAAUGACUGAUGUGGAAACGCUGGUAGAGAUGGCAGAUAUUGUCGAGCAGUCUUCAGUUACCAACACUGCCAUAACUUAUCCGCCCUGGCCAUGGAGUGACUGGAAAUCAUUUCUUGAACCCGCGUAAAAGCAGUUCAAGGCAUUUGGAUAUUUCAGUACUUCAGGUUUGAUAGUGAUGCGCCUGGGAUCGUUUUCUUGCGAGAUGACGGGAUACAGAAGAGACCAGUGUAAAACUGAUUAACAACAACGCGGUCGGCUUUGCGCACAAUGAGCGACCGUCCGUUCUUUCACCAGCCAGACUAUUUGAGAACAGGCGAAACUAUCUGACCAAGUCCGUGAUUAAGUAGAUCCCUGAAUCAAAGCGGACUGUGUUUAUUUGAAACUCAGACUGAUAUAUUUUAAACACUGAUGUGCGACGUAAAUUGUAUGUUCUUCUUUAAAUGGGAAGAAUAAAAUUAAAAAUGAAAAUAUUGACACGUAAUAAAAAAAGAUAAUAAAUUUGCUUGAGGAAAUUAUGUUAGGAACUUGUGUUUCUCGUUAUUUAAAAUGUUGCCCUUUCAUUUAAAUGAAAUUAAGUGGUUUCUCCGCUACAAAGAAAAAAUAGUCAUUGUUAACAGACCGUCUAUUCCUAAACAACGUUGUUAUAUGAAGAGCCCGGUUACAAAAUCUAGACGUCAAGACGUUGACGUUAUUUACGACGUUACAAUGGUAUACAAAUCAAAGGUUAUGACAGACUUAAAAAUUGAAUAAAGAGUGUAAUACAUCAUUUUAAUCACAAGAAAAAGAUCUUUCAUUUGAUAUUAAAAAUGAAAAAUCGAUUUUUUUGUUGAUAAUGCAGGUUUUCUCUCUACGUGAUACAUAUUCUAUAUGUUUAUAUUAGCUAUAUAAACUCUGUUGUUUGGCUUCUGUGAGGUUUGAACAAUGUAGUUAAUCAUGAUCAUUUGUUGAAUGACUGAUAUAUGUUAUGCUGAGAAGACACUUCGUCUACUGAAUGUAAUAACUCGGGUAACUGACAUUUUGUGAAUUGUUCAGGA